rnacentral:lncRNA from 1 species
AGCUUCAGAGAAGGUGCAGAAAGCCUGGUUGCAUGUUGGCUUAAAUAGAUCAGUAUCUUACUUCUAGCACAAGAUAAGAUUUGAUUGCGUCAUAUUCGAUAUGGCGUGAGGUCGAGUUGGGCCGAGUCAUAUUCGAAGUGGUGUGAGGCUGGUAGGAUUUAGUCGCAAUCCAGAUCCACAUGCGUUAUGUCUGUACACUUUAAGUGAAUUAGUUGUAUCUUUCUAAUAGCUCGAACUUUUAGGAUUAAUGGUUAGCGCCAACAAUCCGACAGUGCACCACAAGAGCGAAAAGAGAAGAGAAAGAUGGAAGAGAUUCAGAAAGAAAGUUCGAGUUGAGACUGUGUCGUUCUUUGUUGAGGCGACAAAUUUAUGAUAAAAUUUAAUUUGAUGUUUCCGUUAUCAGUACCGAAUUACAGUAACCGAUAUCAGAGUAGGUUACGAAUUCUCCUCUCAAGAUCCUAUAUCAUAUA